rnacentral:rRNA from 1 species
UACGGGGGGGGCAAGCGUUGUUCGGAUUCACUGGGCGUAAAGGGUGCGUAGGUGGCAAGGUAAGUUUGAUGUGAAAUCUUCGAGCUCAACUCGGAAACUGCAUUGAAUACUAUCUUGCUUGAGGAUUGGAGGGGAGGCUGGAAUUCUCGGUGUAGCAGUGAAAUGCGUAGAGAUCGGAAGGAACGUCAAUGGCGAAGGCAGCCACCUGGCCUGAUACUGACGCUGAGGCGCGAAAGCGUGGGGAGCGAACAGG